UGAUUCUUUUUAGGGGAAGGUGUGGUGUAAAGGAUGUUCCGCCUAUUAAUUUACUUUUAUUAUGUUGGUGUAUAUCUGGUUUAAUAUUAUUGUUGAAUAAUAUUAGUUUGUGUAAUUUUAUUAGUUAAGCCAAGUCUAUGUGCUGCUUAUAGAAGUAUUCAUGCGUUACUUUAAUAAAGUUUUAGUGUAAGUACUAUCAUAUUCAGGACGUGUUGACUCAGCGUCUCUCCUGCGGUACCUCCGAAUCG
rnacentral:rRNA from 1 species